GACGAACGCUGGCGGCGUGCUUAACACAUGCAAGUCGAACGGAAAGGCCCUGCUUUUGUUGGGUUCUCGAUUGGCGAACGGGUGAGUGACACGUGAGUAACCUGCCCUUGACUUUGGGAUAACUUCAGGAAACUGGGGCUAAUAUCGGAUAGGAUCUCCUGCUGCAUGGUGGGGGUUGGAAAGUUUCGGCGGUUGGGGAUGGACUCGCGGCUUAUCAGCUUGUUGGGGAGGUAGUGGCUUACCAAGGCUUUGACGGGUAGCCGGCCUGAGAGGGUGACCGGCCACAUUGGGACUGCGAUACGGCCCAGAAUCCUACGGGAGGCAGCAGUGGGGAAUAUUGCACAAUGGGCGGAAGCCUGAUGCAGAAACGCCGCGUGCGGGAUGACGGCCUUCGGGUUGUAAACCGAUUUCGCAUGUGACGAAGAGUGCGUGACGGUAAUGGGUAAAGAAGCACCGGCUAACUACGUG
rnacentral:rRNA from 1 species